UACGUAGGGUGCAAGCGUUAAUCGGAAUUACUGGGCGUAAAGCGCGCGCAGGCGGUCUUCCAAGUCAGUGGUGAAAGCCCGGAGCUCAACUCCGGAACUGCCAUUGAAACUGUUAGACUUGAGGAUGAGAGAGGUGAGUGGAAUUCCCAGUGUAGAGGUGAAAUUCGUAGAUAUUGGGAAGAACACCGGUGGCGAAGGCGGCUCACUGGCUCAUUUCUGACGCUCAGGCGCGACAGCGUGGGGAUCAAACAGG
rnacentral:rRNA from 1 species